rnacentral:rRNA from 1 species
UACGUAGGGUGCGAGCGUUGUCCGGAAUUACUGGGCGUAAAGAGCUCGUAGGUGGUUUGUCACGUCGUCUGUGAAAUACCGUGGCUUAACUGCGGGGGUGCAUCUGAAACUGUUUCUCUUGAGUGUCGGAGAGGAAAGUGGAAUUCCCAGUGUAGCGGUGAAAUGCGUAGAGAUUGGGAGGAACACCAGUGGCGAAGGCGGCUUUCUGGACGAUAACUGACGCUGAGGCGCGAAAGCGUGGGUAGCAAACAGGAUUAGAUACCCGCGUAGUCCCU